UACAGAGGGUGCGAACGUUGCUCGGAAUUACUGGGCGUAAAGCGCAUGUAGGCGGAUCCAUAAGUCGGGCGUGAAAUCCCCAGGCUCAACCUGGGAACUGCGCUCGAAACUGUAGGUCUUGAGUGUCGGAGAGGAUGGCGGAAUUCCUGGUGUAGAGGUGAAAUUCGUAGAUAUCAGGAGGAACACCGGUGGCGAAGGCGGCCAUCUGGACGACAACUGACGCUGAGAUGCGAAAGCGUGGGGGAGCAAACAGG
rnacentral:rRNA from 1 species